rnacentral:piRNA from 1 species
CGGGAAUCUAAGGAGACUGAUUGACCGCC